rnacentral:tRNA from 1 species
GCCCGGGUGGUGAAAUGGUAUACACAACGAGUUUAAGCCUCGUCGCCGUAAGGCAUGUCGGUUCGAGUCCGACUCCGGGCA